rnacentral:rRNA from 1 species
GAAUCCCGUCUUUGGCACGGAUGUACCAGGGCUUUCGUGAUGCGCUCUCGAAGAGUCGAGUUGUUUGGGAAUGCAGCUCAAAAUGGGUGGUGAACUCCAUCUAAAGCUAAAUAUUGGCGAGAGACCGAUAGCGAACAAGUACCGUGAGGGAAAGAUGAAAAGAACUUUGGAAAGAGAGUUAAACAGUACGUGAAAUUGCUGAAAGGGAAACGCUUGAAGUCAGUCGCGUUAGCUAGGACUCAGCCUCGCUCUUGCGUGGUGUACUUUCUGGUUGACGGGUCAGCAUCAAUUUUGACUGCUGGAAAAAGGUCUUGGGAAUGUGGCAGCUUCGGCUGUGUUAUAGCCCUUGGUCACAUACAGCGGUUGGGAUUGAGGAACUCAGCACGCCGCAGGGCCGGGUUUCGACCACGUUCGUGCUUAGGAUGCUGGCAUAAUGGCUUUAAGCGACCCGUCUUGAAACACGGACCAAGGAGUCUAACAUGCCUGCGAGUGUUUGGGUGGUAAACCCGAGCGCGUAAUGAAAGUGAAAGUUGAGAUCCCUGUCGUGGGGAGCAUCGACGCCCGGACUUGAACUUUUGUGACGGAUCCGCGGUAGAGCAUGUAUGUUGGGACCCGAAAGAUGGUGAACUAUGCCUGAAUAGGGUGAAGCCAGAGGAAACUCUGGUGGAGGCUCGUAGCGAUUCUGACGUGCAAAUCGAUCGUCAAAUUUGGGUAUAGGGGCGAAAGACUAAUCGAACCAUCUAGUAGCUGGUUCCUGCC